rnacentral:rRNA from 1 species
UACAGAGGGUGCAAGCGUUGUUCGGAAUUACUGGGCGUAAAGCGCGUGUAGGCGGCCUGCUAAGUCUCGUGUGAAAGCCCCGGGCUCAACCCGGGAAGUGCGCGAGAUACUGGCUGGGCUGGAGUGGUGGAGAGGGUGGCGGAAUUCCCGGUGUAGAGGUGAAAUUCGUAGAUAUCGGGAGGAACACCUGUGGCGAAGGCGGCCACCUGGACAUUCACUGACGCUGAGACGCGAAAGCGUGGGUAGCAAACAGG